ACACGCUUUAAGUGUUUCUCUCUGCCACCACCGUCUUCAUCAUCAUUUUCACCUCUUUCUUCUUUUUUUUUUUAAUUUCAACACCUAACAUACAUGUUUCAUUACGCAAAAGCCAUCUUUAUCUGUUUCUCAUGUGACUCUGAAGCCUCCUUCUUUCCUUCAACAUACCCAAGGUUUGGACGUUGGUGCUAGGGAGAAGCAAGGAAAUCCUAAAGCAUGUCUUCACUUAAAGUUUCCGCUCAAAUGGAUUAUGAUUUGCAGUAUGGCCACCUAACAGCUUUGGUUUAUUGGGUUAAUGAGAGAAUACAUUCAAGGUAUAUAGUUCGCUGUUAGUGCUUUUAAGACUUGUGAUAAUGUUCGAGAAUGGUCUUUUCUGGUGCUAGUUUUAAUUGAUGUACAAUUUUUUUUGUUUUUUUUAAUUCUUAACCCUUCCCCGAUUCCCAACUGUAGUUUGUUUUGUACCAAAGAAUGAAUAUCGAACUGUGGUUUUCUUCCUUAGCUAAGGGAACUGCAUAGUAUUGAUGCAAAGUUUUUCCCCAUUUUCAGUAGAAUUGUUGAAAGCCAGUCCACUUAUGUUUUCAGAAACUCAAGAAAAAAUAUAUCUUCUGCCUCUCUCUAAAACUCAAGAAAACCCUAGAUUGUUGGGAAUUUUGAUUUAUUUAUGUAGAAAUUUUGUGCAAAUGCCAUCAAUUGACUAGCGAGAGGUUGCUCAUAAUUGGUUUGGAGGUUGUUGUUGUUCAUUCGGGGGUAUAAGUGAGAAGCUGGUGACUAGAUUUGCAAAUUCCUAUAGAUGUGCUAAGGGUGUGUGUCUUUUAAACUUUACGACCAUUCUUCUUUUAAUUUUCAAAUUAUUUGAAUUUUUUUAAUCAAACACAAUUCUUUAAUGUUUCCGUUUCACAAAAAUGAGAAUGACUUCUAUUUCUUGAAAUCAAAUGAAGCCUUGAGAUAUUUUACGCAUUAUUUAAGGUUUAAUUUUUUUUUCUUGAGUGACAAUGUGGAUGUCAUAUAGUCUAAUUUU